AUGGAACGAAUGGCGACAUCUUAUUUCAAGGAAGUUUACACCAAGGAUCCAACCUUAACUCCGGACAGUGUGCUUGAAGGAGUUCUGCCGAAAGUGUCUGAAGCUAUGAACAACAGGUUGUGCGUCCCUUUUUCUGAGGAGGAGGUGUCGAAUGCUCUUUUUCAAAUAGGUCCGUUGAAGGCGCCCGGAACGGAUGGAUUUCCAGCAAGGUUUUUCCAGCGUAACUGGUCAGAGUUAAAACCUCAAAUUAUUGCAGCGGUGUUAGACUUUUUUGUCUCUGGUAUUUUGCCUGAAGGUGUUAAUGACACGGCAAUCGUCCUUAUUCCGAAAGUUUCUCACCCCAAAGAGCUCAAGGACUUUAGGCCGAUCAGUCUUUGCAAUGUUAUUUAUAAAAUUGUGUCUAAAUGCAUGGUUAAUCGGCUUAGGCCGCUGCUCUCAGAGUUGAUAUCGGAGAACCAAAGUGCUUUUAUCCCGGGCCGGCUUAUCUCGGAUAAUUCUAUUAUUGCCUUUGAGUGCAUUCAUCACAUACAAAAUCUAAAAGGAAACAAUAUUGCUGCGUGUGCGUAA
rnacentral:rRNA from 1 species